UGUACAAGAGUUGCUGUAGCAACCUCACAGCUGUGCUCUGUCUAGCAGAAACUUGGGAUACAGAAAAACAGCAAAUACAAAUCAUGGAUGAAAUUUAUAAGAUCACUUCCACAGAAAGGGUCCAGCUGUUGGAGAAAAAACUGACUGUGCAACUGACUGAACUGAAGUCUGAGAUAGAAGAGCAGGGAGCUCUUCAGGGAACAGCUAAUCGAGUUUACAGCUCUAUUCAAGUGCCAAAGGAUAUUUAUUACUUUAGAAGAGAGAGGGAACUAGCACUGAAGAAAACCUUACAGGUGGCCGAGUCGAAGCCCCUUGUUGUUCAGGCAGACGCCAUGCAGAGGGAGCUAAAGAGCUGCCUAAGAAGGGAGUACACCCCUGAAAAUUUACCUUUGCUUCUGUUGCAGUAUUACACAGAGAGAAUUACCCAGCUGGCCCAGAGUAAAUAUUUACACAUGCUUAGGUGGAAGAGGUUUUGCCAACACAGUAAGAUCAUGGAGCAACUUUAUCCUCUUUACAAGAAACAAGUUGGCUACAUUAUGCAGGAGUACAAUGAUGCCCUUCAGAGAGCUGAAAGAUUGUCUGUUGCUCGAGAAAACUUCCUCAUGGGAAAAAACAAUCCUCCUAACUUGGUGACACAGGAAGAUCUGACUAUUUACACAAGGUGGUUAGUGUGCCACCUGCACUCUCUCGGGACUGUUCACCAGUACCUGCAGGCCCUCCAGUAUUUGCCCAUCUCCAAAGUGCUGAGUUUAGCUUUCAACCAAGUCACUGAAGUUGGUCAGAAAAAUGAAAAUGUCUGUGUCAAUGACAUUGACCCUGACAUUCAGGGUUCUGCAUCUCCUGACCCUGUGGAUAUCAGCAUUUCUGGGCCAAUGAGAACAGAAGCUGCUUUUGUCCUCCCCCAACAUGCAACAGAAACAGGAGAACUGAAACCUCAGCUGAAGCUCCUGCUCUCCCAUUUCAGUAUCCCAUAUGACGUAGAAGAGCUCUGGGACUCUGCUAAGGAAAUGGAACUUUUUUCCUUGGUUUCCCAAAAAUUUCAAAGCGUCUUCAUGGAGCAACAGAGAUUGCAAAUGUUUCCAGACUAUGAAGCUGGAACAGCUAAAGCAGAUAAUUUGGGUUUGGCAGGACCCAGAAUGACCCUGAAAAAGAGAGCCAACUGGAUUUCCUUCAUAAAGAUCAAGCCAAAAUGUGAUCCAUGGCAAAAGAAGCUUUUGACUAAAUUAAAAGAACGGAGAAGAACAGAUGCAUUAUUGCAACUCCAAGCAAAGUUUUUGAAGAUUUCCAACCCUGAGCGAGUAAUGCAAGUGCUCCAAGAUCACGCUGCAAAGACAGUCAUGCUGGCUCCAUAUCAUCCAUCUUUUGUGGCUUCCCAAGGUUUGCAUCAGUGCAAUUAUGACCAAGUCUGGGAGAAUAUUUACAACAUCAACCUCUGUCAGAAUAAAAAUAUGAAGGAUGAUGACCUCUCCAUGAAACAAAAUGAAAAUGAUCUAUCACAAAUAACUCUCAGCCAACAUGCUGAUGGGCCUCUCAAGCAGAUACAAGAGACGGGGUACAACUAUGCAAUGACCCUACAACUGCUGGGCUUGGAAGACGGCACUGACCCCAGUGAUAGGAAUCCUGUUCUGAUGAGAGGGGCCUACUUGUCCUUUCUGUAUCUGCGCCACCUUCGAAUCAGAGAACUGCAGCGCAUCUGCUUAGGAAUUCUGAAUUAUUUCAGAUCUGUUGAGCGAACCCUGACAAUCAAUACUUCGGGCCUUACCUUGGUUUCAGGGAAACUGGUCCCCACCAUGGAAGAUAGUUCCUGGGUAAAUAUGGCAAAAGGAGGUCUGGGCACCUUGCAGGGCCUGGGCGCUCACCACUAUGUCCAUGAGACGCCUGCUGAGCACAAGGUCCACAGCGUCCAAUUCAUGGAGUUCUCGGAAGUGGAGAACCAGGAUGACUACUACAGCACAGAAGCUGGCUGCAUCCACACCCAGGACCAGCAAGGGGUGCAUGUCAUGUAUGAGGAAGCCUUGAGUGAUCUCAAGGAACUAGAGGCAGAGUUGCUGCUUGUGGCUAGCCAUUACAUUGAGAAAGAAAGGGGUCACAAAGUGGGCAGCCAGCCAAAGAGUGGCCAGGACUGGGGAUGGGCCCAUGCAGAUGUGGACAGAUUUGCUGUGCUGUAUGACACGUGGACUUGGGAAGCAGCUCUUCUGGAAAACAAGCGCCAGCUUCUUGACAGUUACUUUGAAGCCUACCAGCACACGUUGGACCCUGAGGAGAGGUUUACCUUAGCACAAGUGAUGACGGACAUCGUGCACCGGCGCCCGAGGUUUGAUUUCAGCCACCCCUAUUUCAUUAAGGCCUACCAAGAGGAAUGCACCUGCCUGAGGCUUCACCUGCAGUUAGUGAGGGGCAUCCUCAACCAGCAGAUAGAACGUCAGCGGGAGUAUGUCCAGAGGCUUUGGCGAGAGGAUCAUCUGGACAAUAGCAAUACAUUUGGACUUCCCCUUAAUAUAGUUUGCAAACAACUUAUUUCCAUCAACAAUAGCUGCCCAGCUUCAAAAAAUGUUUAUCUGCUGGAGUUCCACCCUUCCCUCAGCCUGGCAGCACUUAUCCCCAAAGCCCUAGAGCAUCUCUUCCAAGAGGCCUGCCAUGCCUGCAGACCCACAUCAGCCAGUGGCCUUGCCUCCCUGGAGCGACAUGUCCUGCAGCUGGCCCUGGACCUGUGGCUCACCCCAGCCACGCCUGAGGCCUGGUACAGUACACAGCUCCAGAAAGAUCUGUUUUCAGCUAAAGUUAUGGGAGAUCCCUUUCUCGUGGGGGAGAUAGGCCUGCUGGCAUUCAAGUCUGCAGCAGACGAAGGACAGAAACAAGGCCAAGACUCUCACGUGCUGCUCUUGGAGAUGUUUUCCAAACUUCUGGAACUCUUGACCCUCCGCCACCGGCUGAUAGAAAUGAGCCUGGAGAGUGCACACUUAGCUCGGCUCUAUAAAGAAUUGGCAUGGGAGAUGGGUUUUGAAGAGUUCCAUUUGUAUCUGAGGCCUGUUCACUUUGAAUUUGCAUCACACGGGGACAGGGCAGACCAGCUACCUCCUGUGUUUAUAACCUCUCUGCUGGAGGACAGUGGUCGGGUAGACAGAUAUUCUCCUACUGCUCUUGUCUUAGCCAUCUCUGAGGUGGAUGAUAACCAAAUUGGCAAAUUUAGUUUUUACACAAAGGAAGCCAUUCUUAAGCUUUUGCUGCAUUCAGGAGUGGAAAAUAUGCAGGUGACUCUUGCAUGCCAAGCUGCUCAGAAAAAUGCUUUGAUGGCGGCUGUCCAGCAGGUGUACUUCUAUUGCACCCCUCAAGGGAGCUGUCCUGCUAAUGUCAAGGUCAGCCUGCAUGACAGAGAAGCCAGAGGCAUCUCAUCACCCCCACCAGCUAAUGUCAGGCUGCCCCUUUCUUCCUUCCUUUUUUCCCUUCUCCCUUUCUCCCUUUCUUUCUCCCCUGCCCCCUACUUUCUCUUUCCUAUCUCUUUAUCUUCCUUACUUUCCUUUUUUCUUCCUUUCCUUGUUUCCUGUUUGUGAAUCAAUGUAUGACCAAAUCCUUAUUGGAUUUCUUAAUUUUCAGUUAUACUUUUUUCUGUAUUUCUUAUUUUUUGGUUAUUGAGACAUAAUUCAUGUGAUAUAAAACAUACCACAGGCUGGGCAUGGUGGCUCACACCUGUAAUCACAGCACUUUAGGAGGCAGAGGUGGGUGGAUCACAAGGUCAGGAGAUCGAUACCAUCCUGGCCAAUAUGACGAAACCCCAUCUCUACUAAAAUACAAAAAACUAGCUGGGCAUGGUGGCACGUGCCUAUAGUCCCAGCUACUCGGGAGGCUAAGGCAGGGGAAUUGCUUGAACCCAGAAGGCAGAGUUUGCAGUGAGCUGAGAUCGUGCCACUGCACUCCAACCUGGCAACAGAGUGAGACUCCUUCUCAAAACAAACAAACAAACACCAUAUUAUAGUAUAUAAUUCAGUGGUUUUUAGUAUAUUCACAAGAUUGUGCAACCAUCAUCACUAUCUAAUUCCAAAACAUUUUUAUCACUCACUCUCAAAAGAAACGUUGUACCCAUUAGCAGUUACUUACUUUUUCUCCCUCCCCUCAGUCCCUAGCAACCACUAAUCUACUUUCUGUUUCUAUAGAUUUGCUUAUUCUGGACAUUGUAUAUAAAUGGAAUCAUACAAC
rnacentral:sRNA from 1 species